rnacentral:RNase_P_RNA from 1 species
AGGGUGGAAAGGCGAGGUAAGAGCUCACCCAAUGGCGUGUCAAGCGCCCAUUGCUGUAAACUCUAUCCGGAGCAACUCCGUGGGAACACAUACAGGCCGGCCCGGCCGUGUUCAGGAGGCGGCUUGAGCGUACUGGCGACGGUAUGUCGAGAUAGAUGGCUGUCUUAAAUGACAGAACCCGGCUUACAGGCUUACUUGCACC